GGUGGUAAUGCCGGAUGCUCCAGUUGACCGCAUGGUCCUCUGGGAAAGCUUUUGCGGUAUGGGAUGGGGUCGCGUCCUAUCAGCUUGAUGGCGGGGUAACGGCCCACCAUGGCUUCGACGGGUAGCCGGCCUGAGAGGGCGACCGGCCACAUUGGGACUGAGAUACGGCCCAGACUCCUACGGGAGGCAGCAGUGGGGAAUAUUGCACAAUGGGCGCAAGCCUGAUGCAGCGACGCCGCGUGCGGGAUGACGGCCUUCGGGUUGUAAACCGCUUUUGACUGGGAGCAAGCCCUUCGGGGUGAGUGUACCUUUCGAAUAAGCACCGGCUAACUACGUGCCAGCAGCCGCGGUAAUACGUAGGGUGCAAGCGUUAUCCGGAAUUAUUGGGCGUAAAGGGCUCGUAGGCGGUUCGUCGCGUCCGGUGUGAAAGUCCAUCGCUUAACGGUGGAUCCGCGCCGGGUACGGGCGGGCUUGAGUGCGGUAGGGGAGACUGGAAUUCCCGGUGUAACGGUGGAAUGUGUAGAUAUC
rnacentral:rRNA from 1 species